UACGUAGGGGGCUAGCGUUGUCCGGAAUCAUUGGGCGUAAAGAGCGUGUAGGCGGCCCGGUAAGUCCGCUGUAAAAGUCAAAGGCUCAACCUUUGAAUGUCAGUGGAUACUGCCGGGCUAGAGUCCGGAAGAGGCGAGUGGAACUCCUGGUGGUAGCGGUGGAAUGCGCAGAUAUCAGGAAGAACACCAACGGCGAAGGCAGCUCGCUGGGACGGUACUGACGCUGAGACGCGAAAGCGUGGGGAGCGAACAGG
rnacentral:rRNA from 1 species